rnacentral:rRNA from 1 species
AUUGAACGCUGGCGGCAUGCUUUACACAUGCAAGUCGAACGGCAGCGCGGGCUUCUGCCUCUCGUCGAGUGGCGAACGGGUGAGUAAUGCAUCUGGACGUGCCCAGUAUUGUGGGAUAUCCCGGCGAAAGCCGGGGUAAUACCCCAUACACCCUGUGGGGGAAAACGGGGGACCGAAAGGCCUCGCGCUAUUGGAGCUGCGGAUGUCGGAGUAGCUAGUUGGUGGGGUAAAGGCUUACCAAGGCGACGAUCCGUAGCUGGUCUGAGAGGACGACCAGCCACACUGGGACUGAGACACGGCCCAGACUCCUACGGGAGGCAGCAGUGGGGAAUUUUGGACAAUGGGGGCAAGCCUGAUCCAGCAAUGCCGCGUGCGGGAAGAAGGCCUUCGGGUUGUAAACCGCUUUUGUUCGGGAAGAAAUCCUCUGGGCUAAUACCCCGGGGGGAUGACGGUACCGGAAGAAUAAGCACCGGCUAACUACGUG